rnacentral:misc_RNA from 1 species
UCCAACCACUCGGAGCCUCCCGCGUUGCCUGUACAACAUACUCGGUUCUCGGGCAAAUGACUUCGUCCGACACGCUCGUCCGCUCCCCUCGCCUUUGUGCGGGCGCGGAGCGGCAACGUCGGCGGUCCUCGUGCUCCCUCGGACGACGGCACGGCUUUGGCCCCUCGUCUCGUCCCGAUCGGCCCUCGAGGAUUCGCCAGCGCUCGCGGACACGGUAGACAAUGUUGGCUCGGGGCCUUCGUAGCCCCCGCACCACGAUCGGUCGGCUCACUUCGCCGCCCUCGACGAGACGACCGUCGGGCCCGUCGUCCCCCCACCAC